UUACGGGGCUUUUGUGCCGGCCACCUUUAAUCUUAUUCAUUCAUAAUAAGUUCUGGUGCUGUACCAGAUUUUGUAUCUCUGAAUAUCUACGAACAGAUUUGAAUCCAAAAAAUCGGAAGGAAUGUAGCAAUUUUCAACCAAAACGGUUGCGGGACUGAAUAGGGUGGAUGGUGUAAACAAUUAAGUACUUUAAAGGUAUAUAUGAAAGCCUUUGUCAUACACAACGAUAGCCGUUAAGCCUCGUUACCAGCCUUCAGUGGUCGGCGGGUUGCCAGUGCAUUAAAUCUCAUAAUAUGAAUACCUCAAAUUUUUGGUGGAAGUAUGGGUUAAGGUCUUUUAGUGUUUUUAUUAAUUACAUUUUCAUGAACAGAAGGAGUGCUUCCUCGAUAUUGGAGGAACAUAUUGAACGUUCCGAUUUGUAAACAUUUCCUUGAUAUGAUUAUACCUUGAUGUAUGUACGACCACAUCGUUACUUUUUAUACUAAUAUUAAUAUGUGAAUGAAAGACUUAUAUUGUUAUCGGUAAGCUACCAUCGAAAGAGGCUCAAAUGUUAGUACAAUGCAUCAAAUGGGAAUAAAUAUAGAGUUGCAUCCCCCUACCCUUUUUGGAACUGUUAAAUUAUCGCUACAAUUCUGUACUAAAAUAACGAGAGCUAUGUACGACUAUUAACAUUUGGUCGAAUUAUAUUGUUAGGGCACAUAGGAAUUACUUAUAAUAUUG